rnacentral:tRNA from 1 species
GCUGCCGUAGCUCAGUUGGAUAGAGCGAUAGUUUCCUAAACUGUAGGUCAGAGGUUCGAUCCCUCUCGGUGGUA